ACGGGAGGUAGCAGUGGGGAAUAUUGCACAAUGGGCGAAAGCCUGAUGCAGCGACGCCGCGUGAGCGAAGAAGUAUUUCGGUAUGUAAAGCUCUAUCAGCAGGGAAGAUAAUGACGGUACCUGACUAAGAAGCACCGGCUAAAUACGUGCCAGCAGCCGCGGUAAUACGUAUGGUGCAAGCGUUAUCCGGAUUUACUGGGUGUAAAGGAAGCGUAGGCGGUUUUACAAGUCUGAUGUGAAAGCCCGGGGCUCAACUCCGGUAUUGCAUUGGAAACUGUAGAACUAGAGUGUCGGAGGGGUAAGUGGAAUUCCUAGUGUAGCGGUGAAAUGCGUAGAUAUUAGGAGGAACACCAGUGGCGAAGGCGGCUUACUGGACGAUUACUGACGCUGAGGCUCGAAAGCGUGGGGAGCAAACAGGAUUAGAUACCCUGGUA
rnacentral:rRNA from 1 species